AGUUAAAGAGAAUUAUCACUAACAUAAUAAUUAUUACUAUGAAAAUCUUAGUGGCAUUUUGUUUUACUAUCCUCCUUAUCAUAUCUUUUGCUCAUUGUCUUCCUACAACCGCCGGAAGUGAGGGUUAUCGACCAAGCCGAGCAAAGCGACCAAAAUGUUUAUGGUUUGCAGGAUCAUUGUGUAAUAUCCCGGGACUCUGCAAUGAUCAUUGUGAAAGACAAGGAUAUGAUCAUGGCUUCUGUGUUAGGAAAAUUUGUUGUUGUUUUUGAUCUUUGACACUAUAACUGUAAUUACUAGUACGUGUCUACAAUAACAUUAUAUAAUUAAAUGUAUUGGUAUCGGCUUCAAUAACAUAAAUCUAUGAUAUUCACAUGUUA